rnacentral:rRNA from 1 species
GGGUAACGGCCCACCUAGUCUUCGAUGGAUAGGGGUUCUGAGAGGAAGGUCCCCCACAUUGGAACUGAGACACGGUCCAAACUCCUACGGGAGGCAGCAGUGGGGAAUAUUGGUCAAUGGGCGAGAGCCUGAACCAGCCAAGUAGCGUGAAGGAUGACUGCCCUAUGGGUUGUAAACUUCUUUUAUAAAGGAAUAAAGUCGGGUAUGGAUACCCGUUUGCAUGUACUUUAUGAAUAAGGAUCGGCUAACUCCGUGCCAGCAGCCGCGGUAAUACGGAGGAUCCGAGCGUUAUCCGGAUUUAUUGGGUUUAAAGGGAGCGUAGAUGGAUAUUUAAGUCAGUUGUGAAAGUUUGCGGCUCAACCGUAAAAUUGCAGUUGAUACUGGAUAUCUUGAGUGCAGUUGAGGCAGGCGGAAUUCGUGGUGUAGCGGUGAAUGCUUAGAUAUCACGAAGCACUCCGAUUGCGAAGUCAGC